UACGUAGGGCGCAAGCGUUGUCCGGAAUUAUUGGGCGUAAAGAGCUCGUAGGCGGCCUGUCGCGUCCGCUGUGAAAUCCCGGGGCUUAACCCCGGGCGUGCAGUGGAUACGGGCUGGCUGAAGGCAGGCAGGGGAGAACGGAAUUCCCGGUGUAGCGGUGAAAUGCGCAGAUAUCGGGAGGAACACCGGUGGCGAAGGCGGUUCUCUGGGCCUGUACUGACGCUGAGGUGCGAAAGCGUGGGGAGCGAACAGG
rnacentral:rRNA from 1 species